GAUGAACGCUGGCGGCGUGCCUACUACAUGCAAGUCGAGCGAACAGAUGAGGAGCUUGCUCCUCUGUCGUUAGCGGCCGACGGGUGAGUAGCACGUGGAUCACCUACCUAUAUGACUGUGAUAACUUCGGAAAACCGGUGCUAAUACCGGAUAAUAUAUUGACCCGCAUGGUUCAAUAGUGAAAGACGGUUUUGCUGUCACUUAUAGAUGGAUCCGCGCCGCAUUAGCUAGUUGGUAAGGUAACGGCUUACCAAGGCAACGAUGCGUAGCCGACCUGAGCGCGUGAUCGGCGAAACUGGAACUGAGACACGGGCCAGACGCCUAGGGGAGGCAGCAGUAGGGAAGCGUCCGCAAUGGGGGAAAGCCUGACGGAGCAACGCCGCGUGAGUGAUGGAGGUCUUCGGAUCGUAAAAUUGUGUUAUUAGGGAAGAACAAAUGUGUAAGUAACAAUGCACGUCUUGACGGUACCUAGUCAGAAAGCCACGGCUAACUACGUG
rnacentral:rRNA from 1 species